rnacentral:lncRNA from 1 species
CCUUUUCCAUCUCUUCCCAUGAUGUAAUACUGCCAGUUGGGAGAGAAUAUAACCACUCUACCAUCUCUUCAGCUAAAGUGAACGAGAAUAUUCUUAACUUUUUUGUUUCAUCAGUAUGACCAUCAAUUUUCAAAGUAGUACUCAUGGUUAUAAAUCUCUACAAGUUCUUGUUUGCAUCUCCAUUCACCUUUCCGGUGAAAGGUUUU